rnacentral:lncRNA from 1 species
AAACAUUGCAUCACGAAACAUAAGAGCUUUACAGGUACAUGCUUAAUAAACAUUUAAAAUUGUUGUAAAUGUUAAGUGCUUUAGAUCGUCUAUUCAGAACAGGUACCCUCGGGGUAUUUCCUUAAGGUUCCCAGCCGAUGAUCGUGAAUGUUUACCCCCAAUAAUCGAAGUUGGUAUCUUAUCCCUGCAGAGCUGAUCAGAGCAUUGGAUUCU